AGUGAACGCUGGCGGUAGGCCUAACACAUGCAAGUCGAACGGCAGCACAGUAAGAGCUUGCUCUUACGGGUGGCGAGUGGCGGACGGGUGAGGAAUACAUCGGAAUCUACUUUUUCGUGGGGGAUAACGUAGGGAAACUUACGCUAAUACUGCAUACGACCUACGGGUGAAAGCAGGGGAUCUUCGGACCUUGCGCGAUUGAAUGAGCCGAUGUCGGAUUAGCUAGUUGGCGGGGUAAAGGCCCACCAAGGCGACGAUCCGUAGCUGGUCUGAGAGGAUGAUCGGCCACACUGGAACUGAGACACGGUCCAGACUCCUACGGGAGGCAGCAGUGGGGAAUAUUGGACAAUGGGCGAAAGCCUGAUCCAGCCAUACCGCGUGGGUGAAGAAGGCCUUCGGUUUGUAAAGCCCUUUUGUUGGGAAAGAAAAGCAGCAGGUUAAUACCCCGCUGUUCUGACGGUACCCAAAGAAUAAGCACCGGCUAACUUCGUG
rnacentral:rRNA from 1 species